rnacentral:rRNA from 1 species
AUACGUAGGGGGCAAGCGUUGUCCGGAUUUAUUGGGCGUAAAGGGUUUGCAGGUGGCCUUUUAAGUCAGAUGUGAAAGAUCAAGGCUUAACCUUGGUAAGCAUUUGAAACUGAAAGGCUUGAGUUAAGGAGAGGAAAGUGGAAUUCCUGGUGUAGCGGUGAAAUGCGUAGAUAUUAGGAGGAAUACCAGUGGCGAAGGCGACUUUCUGGACUUAUACUGACACUGAGGAACGAAAGCAUGGGGAGCAAACAGGAUUAGAUACCCUGGUAGUCCAUGCCGUAAACGAUGAGUGCUAGGUGUCGGGGGUCAAACCUCGGUGCCGGAGCUAACGCAUUAAGCACUCCGCCUGGGGAGUACGUACGCAAGUAUGAA